GGCGCCAUUGCACUCCAGCCUGGGCGAUGAGCGAGACUUCAUCUCAAAAAAAACAAAACCAUGGUACUAAACUGAAGUGAAUGUGAUCUUGACAAGAGGUCAGAUCAUUCUCUUUGGUCAGAAAUAUCUCUGGGUAAAGUGAACAUAAAAUAAAGGCCACAACCAGCAUUAAGGUGUGUCAGAAACCCAUUCAUUUGACUUUGAACAGGCUGCUUUAAAAAAAAUUUUUUUUUUCCAACCAGCCAAACAGAGAGGAAGUUCAACUAUGAACCAGAUUACAAAAUCAUCUGAAGCUGUAACAGUGAAAACUACUUCAGGGAAGAAAAAGAAUAACAAAGGAAUGAAGAAGAAAAUUGAAGGUCUGAUGGAAGCCAGUCCUUGCUUAGUGAAGUUGCAUUUGGCAGACAAUGGCAUAGAUGGAAAAGGAAAAGAAGAGAAAAUGGUUUGUUGCAAUUCAUUCAAACUUUAACAUGCCUGAUCAAAUACUCUGCCCACUUGAGGGAAAUUGACCUUGGAAACAACGUCCUAAGAGAAAUGGCUGCUGCUGACAUACUUGAAAUGCUGAGAGCCAGAAAGACAGCCCAACCUGCAGAGAGGUCUCCAGAUAUCAAUUGCAAAACUCAAGUCACAGCCCCCGUAAGAUUAUGAUAUGCUUUCUGGAUCAUCGAAGGAUGAUUAAUUGUGAUUGGCAUAGGGAGAGCAGUAAGUCUUUUAAGAUCCUGCAAUCCUUUGAAAAGGAGAGCAUCACAAGUGGAAGGAGUUGGUUCCUGUGGCCACUCCUGCCCUCUCCAUCGCCAGCAUGCGUGACCAGAAUUAAUGACGGCUGCUCAUCCUGCUGAUGCAGAGGAGGCAAAGAAAUGUCAUUUUAAAUGAAGCUCCAUGGAAGAUUUCAUAAACAGAUUUGAAAAUGCAAAUUCAACUUUAAGAAAAGUAGAAAGAACUCGGGCCGGGCGUGGUGGCUCACGCCUG